AUCAACGAGAUUCCGUUAGUAGAGGCGAUUGAACACGGAACAGGGCAAACUGAAUCCCGCGAGGGAGAUGUGGUGUUAUAGGAAAUCUNUUACGACUUAGGAAAGGAUGCCGAAGUNGUCUGGAAAGGCACAUCAUAGAGGGUGAANAUCCCGUAGGUAUAACUGACCUNAGUNUGAGAUNUUCCUGAGUACCGUGCGUUGGAUAUCGCGCGGNAAUUUGGGAGGCAUCGACUUCCAACCCUNAAUACGUUCCAAGACCGAUAGUGCACU
rnacentral:rRNA from 1 species